UUUCGGUUUCUUUGGCCCUCCUUCUCUGGUCACACUGCUGUUUUGUGAUCGCGAAAAGGGCGACGUGAAAAAAUACGUUUAAUUAAGUUUAAUGCGACAAAUAAAAUAAAUGAUUAAAUUAAAACAAAGCGGAGCUUUUGUGUGAACUGUGGGUGUAGUUGUGAGUGUGUGAGAAAAGAAAAACGAAAACAAAGCCAACGAAGAAAUCGAAGGGGCAAAAGUGGAAAAGAUUCAGAUUGAAAUAUUGAAUGUCAAAGAACAAACGGCAAAAAGAGCGGGGAACAAAGGAAUAUUGGAAAACUCAGAGAAUUUAACUUAUUUGGUCUCCAGCUGUGACAAAUGAUGGCCUAAAAUGGCGGCUACACCACCAAUGCCGCCCGGAUCAAACACCCACCAAUUGAAUGGCAAAGCAGUCGGCAAGGGCAACCCCCUAACUGAGGCGAUCAAUCAACACUUUCUGCGGAAGAACCAGAAUCAGAGCCCCAACCCCAGUCAAAAUCCGAAUCCCAACAGUCCCGCCAGCCGCAGCGGGAGCUAUGAGCAGCUGGAGCUGCUGGAUCACGCAACGCAUCCACAGCAGGAACAGGAAGCCACCAGUGGCAAGGCCAAGCCGAGCUGUCAUUGCACCAACAUUAGUAUUAUGCACCUGUUUCAUGAGAUGAAGCAGGAGUUCCCCACGAUACCCGAUGCCAUAGUGACGCAAUGCGUCAAUGAGAAUUGCCAUCAGCGCGAAAACUGUAUCCAGAUGUUGAGGAAGGAGCUUGCGCUCCAUCCCAUCCCAGUUCAAAGUUAUCCGGCGAAGGUGUUGCAGCAACAGCAGCAGCAACACCACCAGAACAGGCAGGCCAAGCCUCCUACGCCCCUUAAGCCGUCACGGGCAGCACCACCACAACCGGAAGCAGGGCUAAGCAAUGGAUUGGCUACGCCGCCAGGUGUUGGUAGCUUACAGCCUGAUACGCAGCCCCGGCCACGACCCACGACGCUUAAUCUGCAACGUCAGUUUAGCACUCAGCUGCAGCAAAAGAUUCUGCAGCGCCAGCAGCGUCAGCAGAGGGAUCACCAGGCUGCCCAGCUGACGCCCACUUCCUUGAGCAAGCCACUGCGCCGGGCACCGCCACUUCCGCCGCCACCCAAACCGAAGCCCGGUAGCUUCUCAAACGAUUCCUCAUGCCUCACCAGUCCCAUGAGCUCCAGCGAUUCGGAGCUUUCGCUCAAUGCGGUCCCCUUAUCGUCACCAACGUCGGCGGCGGCUACUGGUGCUGCGGCGUCAGCAGCAAUCGCAUCAACGCAACAACAACCCUCGCCGGUGCGACAUCGCUCAGUCGUUACGCUACAGCCAGAGCCGCCGUUCGCGCGCGACUUUCGCAGCAUUGACUUUCCGGCGACGACUACGUGUACGCCUCCGCUUCCCUCGCCCAGCUCGGCAGCGUCACCAAGUGCCCCUGGCGGACGCAAGAGCUUCACCUCGCUCAAUCUCACCCUGCGCCAGCCGACGGGCUCAGCGCAAUCGGCCAUUGACAUCACCGCUGGCCCGGCGCCCAGUGGGCAGGGCAGUGGGAUCACCUACUCCAGCGUUAGUUUUGACGCGCGUCGUGGAACGCAGAAGAAUUUCCAGCUGACUGUGACGGACGAGGGCAGUGUCUUCAGUGCAGGCAGCGUUCGCCCAAGGACUUUAUACGCAGCGCCUUGUGAGCCGGUGGCAAGUGUUCCAGCAAAUCAACAGCCUCCGCCGCCAGCAGCAGUGGUGGCGGAUGGUCUGGGGGACGCCGAUAUGACGUCGGAUGUUUUCCCCUAUCCAACGCAGGAGCAGAACCACAUUGUGGCGUCCAACUAUAGUAACAACCAUGCCGUCAGCGACAAUAACAACAUUGGGAUCAGCAACAGCACGGACAGUAGUCCCACCAUGCCCCUUUACGAAGGAGUCAUGGAGGAAUGCGAUCGCGAAGUUCAUGCCGCCACAAUUGAGCGGCAGAAGCAGCGGCGCGACAAGCUGGCCAAUGCGCUGCGGGACAACAAGAAGCGGCUGCUCGUCCUGGAGCAGGAGAUCAACAUCCUGACUGAGCCGGUGCCGGUGGGGGAAUCUGAAAGACUGGAUAGAGAUAUCAAGCAACUGACUGAGGACUGUAAGCGUCUGCUUGACUGCUUAAAUGAACCACAGGCGAAUGGCCCUGGGCCGGCGGCCAAUCCAACGAACCGCCAGCACUUGUUACCCGCCAGCAUUGCUCCCCAGCAUCAGCCACAGCCAUUCCCGCGUCAGCGUCAAGGGGCUCGCGUCCAGGCGCCACCCAGUUCUCUGCGUCUGCACUCGGUGCCGGCAGCACCUAUCUCCCAGCCGGCGCAGGACUUCGGGCAGCACCACAGCAGUGCUCCCACCUCGGCCUGCUUAACGCCCCAGAUGCAGAGUCAACAGCAAAUGUUCCAGCUGCAGCAGGAGCCGCCACCGACAUAUGCCCAGUACUGUCAGUUCCAGCAAUUUCUGCAGCAGCGGCGACAGCAGCAG